UCUAUCCUUGGGUGGGGGGACAACCGUGGGAAACUACGGCUAAUACCGCAUGAUCCCGUGAGGGGGCAAAAGGCGAAAGUCGCCUGAGGAGGAGCCUGCGUCUGAUUAGGUAGUUGGUGGGGUAAAAGGGCCUACCAAGCCCUGCGAUCAGUAGCCUGGUCUGAGAGGAUGAUCAGCCACAUUGGGACUGAGACACGGCCCAAACUCCUACGGGAGGCAGCAGUGGGGAAUAUUGGACAAUGGGGCGCAAGCCUGAUCCAGCAAUGCCGCGUGGGUGAAGAAGGUCUUCGGAUUGUAAAGCCCUUUUGGCGGGGACGAUGAUGACGGUACCCGCAGAAUAAGCUCCGGCUAACUUCGUG
rnacentral:rRNA from 1 species